rnacentral:lncRNA from 1 species
GUGGUUUUCUACCCUCGAGGUAGUCGGUUUUCAAAAUAGAGUUUCCGUGUGGGAAACAGUUUUAAAAAGGUUUUCGAAUGGUUUUUAUGAAUGAUUGAAUUAGAGUUUAAAAACAAAAGCUUCCGUGUGGGGAGCACUUUUAAAUAGAUGAUUGUUGUAUCUUGCAUUGCAUAUCCAGCGCCUAAGGAGUCUUAGAGGCAUGCAUCAUUCUAAGGAUUGUUAGCUGUAUGGGAUUGCAUAUCAUGCCUUGGUUGUUGAUUGGUAAAUGUAGGUUGUGGUUGUGAUCCUAUUGUAUCGUUGGUACGC